rnacentral:lncRNA from 10 species
CUGCUCACCACACAGACGGCCAAUCACUGAGACAAUGAGUAUUGACACGGAAGAAGGCGUUAAUCAGGUGCUGCAGUUGAGGACAUGGCAGAUCAGUCUCAAAUCCAUCUGCCUCACUGACUAAGCUGGGGGUUUAUAUAGCAGGAAAAUAAUGCAGCUACCUGCCAGUAAACGGGAAUUUGGGAAGAGUAAGGAAAUCAUGAAGAUGUGGGGUCUGGCUUCUCAUGGUCUGGAUGUGGUGAUCUGAAACUCAAGAUCACCUUGACAAUGAUUGCUCCAUUUGAACCAUUUGAGAGAGAACAGCAGAGCAAUUUUACCAAGGACUAAAUAGUUUCAAAUGGGCUGAGAUACUGAUUCCAGACAGCCAAAUGACCAUUAAAACAGAGAUGGGCGGUUGUGGAAUAUGAAACUAAUUUGAGAAAUGUGUAUUUUGACAUUUUUUAUUACACAAGCAGUCAUACACACUCUAACAUUUCCUUUGAGAUAUGGGGAAAAGUUAUUCUUGCCACAGAAAUGAAAGGGCAGUUGAAGAGGGAAACUCAUUUAUAUAGAUUUUCAAGUGACUAUGAUAAAACCAACAAUACCAAAAUGAUAUAAGUGGGGGAAACGGUAUGUGCAGGAAGCCACUUAGCAUCUGACCUUUGCCAGUCUAAUCAUCUCAGAGACACCAGGAGUCGACACAAAAUCAAGUAAACACACAGAGCUGGGAAAAAUUAGAAAAUGUUAAAAAGCUACAUUGCACUUCAAAUCAAGUAAUAGUAUAGUAAUAUCUUGGUACCUAAAAUCAUAUCUAGGCAAAAUAUUUAAAAUUCUUUUGGAUAAUUUGAACUUGUUGUGUUAAAUAAAGAAUAACAUUGCUUAGCUAUGUAGAUUUCAAUCUGCAGCAGUUUGGUUGAAUAUAGUUCCUGAUGUAGCACAUAGAAACCAAGUAAUACACAUUUGCAUAAUUAAUAAAAUUAUAUAUUUAGUUUAAUUUCAUAUAACAUUCUAAUAAGGCAAUAUAUUAUUACAAUUUUAUAGCACAGUAUUUCAUUGUUGGAAGUGAAAUCAUUUACCUUAACAUAUAUUUUGUAUAAUGAAUCAAGUCAUUAUUAAAAGAAGGGGUCAAGGGAUCUUACAGGUUUUAAACAAGCUGUUGUUAAAUACACUGUGAAUUAAAUUUGCAAGUAUCAAGCAUUUGUUUGAUUAUAUUCUUGGAACACUAUAGCUCAACACAAAAAUGGAAAACAAAAUGUACAAAACCAAAAAGUAGUACUAGAAGUGCUCCUGCUCUUGAAUUUUUAUUAGUUUCCUAACUAAAUAUUCAAUUCUAGCGGUAUAAUUCCAAUAGUCUAUAGAUUCUAUAUAUGGCUGAGAAAACUCAUUUGUAAAGUCUUUUUUUGUAGCAUAAAAAUAACUCUUGGUCCCAUUUAUCUGUACCUUCCUUUUUUUUUUUUUACAAAAAUAUGAAGUUGUAGUUGAAAUUGUAUCUAUACAGUUCUUGCCAAUUAUACUAUUAUUCACAUGCCACUUCAAGAAUGUCACCUUACAGUUCUGUGGUUAUCAUUUGCAAAGUCUGCAAUGCCUUUGCCUUAGAGGCUAUGCAAAUUUUUGUUAGAUAUAAGCCUUCUCAUUUCUGAUUUCAGGAAGUCAACAUAACCCAUCUGCUGCUUUCACUUCCCAGCUGUAUGCAACUAUGCCAAAUUGCUCUAAGUUGAGCUUUAUACUGUUUUCGUAGGCUAUCUUUUACCCACCGUGCUUACAUUUUCCUUGUGUAAUUCACCCUAGACACAGGUGCAGAUGGCAUGUAGAGAAGAGCAAUGCAUUUGGGAACAUGUAAUAUUUGGCUUGCAAGGGCUUUGACAGAACUUCGAAUUAUAGUUCUAAAAAGUGAAUUAAUUUAGUGAAG